rnacentral:lncRNA from 1 species
UUGAGGCUGCACUAAAGAGUGGGGGGAAAUCAGACAUUAAUGGUAGUGAAAUAUAUGUUGAGCUAAAUUUACUUAAAAGUUUCAUUCCAAAUGAUAAUAUGGGGCCGGUUGAUAUCUUGAAAUUUCUUAAACGGCUAGAUUGUUUCCCUAGUGCAACUAUUGCAUAUAGAAUUUUGUUAACUAUUCCAGUGACCGUCGUAUCAGCUGAGAGAAGUUUCUCCAAAUUGAAAUUAUUGAAGUCCUAUCUACGUUCAACAAUGACACAAGAAAGGCUCAGUGGGUUGGCUACUAUAGCAAUUGAAAAUGAUAUACUGGAGGGGGUUGCUUAUGAAGAUCUAAUUGAAGAUUUUGUAUCAAGAAAUGCUCAAAGGAUGGCACGCUUUGGCUAACAGAGUAAAAGAUGGACCUGUAGCUCAAAAUACUAAGAUUUUUCUCUUGUAUUAUGUAGUUCCUUGAGAAAUCUGUACUGCUGUAGUGACUAAUAACAAUAAUGUUUAAAUUGCCUACUUGACUUUCUUAUACAUGGGGCCUAAAUUGUGAUUUCGCUCCGGGGCCUCAAUUUCCGGGGUACGGCCCUGGAAUCAUACAACGCAUCUACACAACAUUUGCUAAUUCAAGUAAAAGGUGGCAGAUCUUGAAAGAUAAUAUAGAUGAUACAACAGGAUUGACUCUCAAGUCGUUGUCAUCUACUCGUUGGGAGAGUCGAAUAGAUAGUGUUAAAGCUAUAAGAUUUCAGCUUUCGAACAUACGAGAAGCUUUACUGCAAGUAUCUGAUGUUGAUAAUGAUCCAAAAACUAGCAGUGAAGCUAAAUCUCUCGCGAAUAAUGAACUUGGUGAUUUUGAAUUUUUAGUAGCUAUUGUUAUUUGGUAUGACUGUAUGCCGUCAAUCUGGUCAGCAAGAACUUACAAUCAAAGGAUAUGCUUAUUGAUGUUGCUAUUGAGCAAGUGCAGGGGCUAAUUACCUUUUUUAAUGGGUAUAGAGACACUGGUUUUUGUAAUGCAUUGGAAACAGCAAAAGAAAUUGCAUUUGAAAUGGAGAUCGAUCCUACAUUUCGUCAAAAGCGUGAGAUUAAAAGAAAGAAACAAUUUGACGAAAACCCAGAUGAUGUGUUAAUUUCUUCACAACCUGCACAUGAAUCAUUUAGGAGAAAAUAUUUUAUUCCUGUUGUUGAUCAGGCUAUCAGUUCACUUGCAACAAGAUUUGAGCAAUAUGAAUCAUUCCAAAAGAACUUUGGUUUUUAUUUACUUCUGAUGCACUAAAAUCAUUGGAUGAGAAGAGCUUAAAAUAUUCUUGUAGUGUUCUUGAGGCUGCACUAAGGAGUGGGGGGAAAUCAGACAUUAAUGGUAGUGAAAUAUAUGUUGAGCUAAAUUUACUUAAAAGUUUCAUUCCAAAUGAUAAUAUGGGGCCGGUUGAUAUCUUGAAAUUUCUUAAACGGCUAGAUUGUUUCCCUAAUGCCACUAUUGCAUAUAGAAUUUUGUUAACUAUUCCAGUGACCGUCGCAUCAACUGAGAGAAGUUUCUCCAAAUUGAAAUUAUUGAAGUCCUAUCUACGUUCAACAAUGACACAAGAAAGGCUCAGUGGGUUGGCUACUAUAGCAAUUGAAAAUGAUAUACUGGAGGGGGUUGCUUAUGAAGAUCUAAUUGAAGAUUUUGUAUCAAGAAAUGCUCAAAGGAUGACACGCUUUGGCUAACAGAGUAAAAUAUGGACCUGUAGCUCAAAAAUCUAAGAUUUUUCUCUUGUAUUAUGUAGUUCCUUGAGAAAUCUGUACUGCUGUAGUGACUAAUAACAAUAAUGUUUAAAUUGCCUACUUGACUUUCUUAUAAAUGGGGCCUAAAUUGUGAUUUCGCUCCGGGGCCUCAAUUUCCGGGCUACGGCCCUGGAAUCAUACAACGCAUCUACACAACAUUAGCUAAUUCAACUAAAAAGUGGCAGAUCUUGAAAGAUAAUAUAGAUGAUACAACAGGAUUGACUCUCAAGUCGUUGUCAUCUACUCAUUGGGANNNNNNNNNNNNNNNNNNNNNNNNNNNNNNNNNNNNNNNNNNNNNNNNNNNNNNNNNNNNNNNNNNNNNNNNNNNNNNNNNNNNNNNNNNNNNNNNNNNNUAGAUUGUUUCCCUAAUGCAACUAUUGCAUAUAGAAUUUUGUUAACUAUUCCAGUGACCGUCGCAUCAGCUGAGAGAAGUUUCUCCAAAUUGAAAUUAUUGAAGUCCUAUCUACGUUCAACAAUGACACAAGAAAGGCUCAGUGGGUUGGCUACUAUAGCAAUUGAAAAUGAUAUACUGGAGGGGGUUGCUUAUGAAGAUCUAAUUGAAGAUUUUGUAUCAAGAAAUGCUCAAAGGAUGGCACACUUUGGCUAACAGAGUAAAAGAUGGACCUGUAGCUCAAAAUUCUAAGAUUUUUCUCCUGUAUUAUGUAGUUCCUUGAGAAAUCUGUACUGCUGUAGUGACUAAUAAAAAUAAUGUUUAAAUUGCCUACUUGACUUUCUUAUACAUGGGGCCUAAAUUGUGAUUUCGCUCCGGGGCCUCAAUUUCCGAGGUACGGCCCUGGCAUCAUACAACGCAUCUACACAACAUUUGCUAAUUCAACUAAAAGGUGGCAGAUCUUGAAAGAUAAUAUAGAUGAUACAACAGGAUUGACUCUCAAGUCGUUGUCAUCUACUCGUUGGGAGAGUCGAAUAGAUAGUGUUAAAGCUAUAAGAUUUCAGCUUUCGAACAUACGAGAAGCUUUACUGCAAGUAUCUGGUAUUGAUAAUGAUCCAAAAACUAGCAGUGAAGCUAAAUCUCUCGCGAAUAAUGAACUUGGUGAUUUUGAAUUUUUAGUAGCUAUUGUUAUUUGGUAUGACUGUAUGCCGUCAAUCUGGUCAGCAAGAACUUACAAUCAAAGGAUAUGCUUAUUGAUGUUGCUAUUGAGCAAGUGCAGGGGCUAAUUACCUUUUUGAAUGGGUAUAGAGACACUGGUUUUUGUAAUGCAUUGGAAACAGCAAAAGAAAUUGCACUUGAAAUGGAGAUCGAUCCUACAUUUCGUCAAAAGCGUGAGAUUAAAAGAAAGAAACAAUUUGACGAAAACCCAGAUGAUGUGUUAAUUUCUUCACAACCUGCACAUGAAUCAUUUAGGAGAAAAUAUUUUUUUCCUGUUGUUGAUCAGGCCAUCAGUUCACUUACAACAAGAUUUGAGCAAUAUGAAUCAUUCCAAAAGAACUUUGGUUUUUUAUUUACUUCUGAUGCACUAAAAUCAUUGGAUGAGAAGAGCUUAAAAUAUUCUUGUAGUGUUCUUGAGGCUGCACUAAAGAGUGGGGGGAAUCAGACAUUAAUGGUAGUGAAUUAUAUGUUGAGCUAAAUUUACUUAAAAGUUUCAUUCCAAAUGAUAAUAUGGGGUCGGUUGAUAUCUUGAAAUUUCUUAAACGGCUAGAUUGUUUCCCUAAUGCAACUAUUGCAUAUAGAAUUUUGUUAACUAUUCUAGUGACCGUCGCAUCAGCUGAGAGAAGUUUCUCCAAAUUGAAAUUAUUGAAGUCCUAUCUACGUUCAACAAUGACACAAGAAAGGCUCAGUGGGUUGGCUACUAUAGCAAUUGAAAAUGAUAUACUGGAGGGGGUUGCAUAUGAAGAUCUAAUUGAAGAUUUUGUAUCAAGAAGUGCUCAAAGGAUGGCACGCUUUGGCUAACAGAGUAAAAGAUGGACCUGUAGCUCAAAAUUCUAAGAUUUUUCUCCUGUAUUAUGUAGUUCCUUGAGAAAUCUGUACUGCUGUAGUGACUAAUAAAAAUAAUGUUUAAAUUGCCUACUUGACUUU